rnacentral:rRNA from 1 species
GAUGAACGCUGGCGGCGUGCCUAAUACAUGCAAGUCGAGCGAACGGACGAGAAGCUUGCUUCUCUGAUGUUAGCGGCGGACGGGUGAGUAACACGUGGAUAACCUACCUAUAAGACUGGGAUAACUUCGGGAAACCGGAGCUAAUACCGGAUAAUAUUUUGAACCGCAUGGUUCAAAAGUGAAAGACGGUCUUGCUGUCACUUAUAGAUGGAUCCGCGCUGCAUUAGCUAGUUGGUAAGGUAACGGCUUACCAAGGCAACGAUGCAUAGCCGACCUGAGAGGGUGAACGGCCACACUGGAACAGAGACACGGUCCAGACUCCGACGGGAGGCAGCAGUAGGGAAUCUUCCGCAAUGGGCGAGAGCCUGACGGAGCAACGCCGCGUGAGUGAUGAAGGUCUUCGGAUCGUAAAACUCUGUUAUUAGGGAAGAACAUAUGUGUAAGUAACUGUGCACAUCUUGACGGUACCGAAUCAGAAAGCCACGGCUAACUACGUG